rnacentral:rRNA from 1 species
GAUCCUGGCUACAGAACGAACGCUGGCGGCAAGGCCUAACACAUGCAAGUCGAACGCCCUAGCAUAGGGAGUGGCAGACGGGUGAGUAACACGUGGGAACCUUCCCUAUAGUACGGAAUAGCUCAGGGAAACUUGAAGUAAUACCGUAUACGCCCGAGAGGGGAAAGAUUUAUCGCUAUAGGAUGGGCCCGCGUCGGAUUAGCUAGUUGGUGAGGUAAUGGCUCACCAAGGCGACGAUCCGUAGCUGGUUUGAGAGAACGACCAGCCACACUGGGACUGAGACACGGCCCAGACUCCUACGGGAGGCAGCAGUGGGGAAUAUUGGACAAUGGGCGCAAGCCUGAUCCAGCCAUGCCGCGUGAGUGAUGAAGGCCUUAGGGUUGUAAAGCUCUUUUAGCAGGGAAGAUAAUGACUGUACCUGCAGAAUAAGCUCCGGCUAACUUCGUG